rnacentral:rRNA from 1 species
AGAGGUCGCUUUUGGCUCAGGAUGAACGCUGGCGGCGUGCCUAAUACAUGCAAGUCGAACGCACAGCGAAAGGUGCUUGCACCUUUCAAGUGAGUGGCGAACGGGUGAGUAACACGUGGAUAACCUACCUCAAGGUUGGGGAUAACAUUUGGAAACAGAUGCUAAUACCGAAUAAAACUUCGUAUCGCAUGAUACAAGGUUAAAAGGCGCUACGGCGUCACCUAGAGAUGGAUCCGCGGUGCAUUAGUUAGUUGGUGGGGUAAAGGCCUACCAAGACAAUGAUGCAUAGCCGAGUUGAGAGACUGAUCGGCCACAUUGGGACUGAGACACGGCCCAAACUCCUACGGGAGGCUGCAGUAGGGAAUCUUCCACAAUGGGCGAAAGCCUGAUGGAGCAACGCCGCGUGUGUGAUGAAGGCUUUCGGGUCGUAAAGCACUGUUGUAUGGGAAGAACAGCUAGAGUAGGGAAUGACUUUAGUUUGACGGUACCAUACCAGAAAGGGACGGCUAAAUACGUGCCAGCAGCCGCGGUAAUACGUAUGUCCCGAGCGUUAUCCGGAUUUAUUGGGCGUAAAGCGAGCGCAGACGGUUGAUUAAGUCUGAUGUGAAAGCCCGGAGCUCAACUCCGGAAAGGCAUUGGAAACUGGUCAACUUGAGUGCAGUAGAGGUAAGUGGAACUCCAUGUGUAGCGGUGGAAUGCGUAGAUAUAUGGAAGAACACCAGCGGCGAAGGCGGCUUACUGGACUGUAACUGACGUUGAGGCUCGAAAGUGUGGGUAGCAAACAGGAUUAGAUACCCUGGUAGUCCACACCGUAAACGAUGA